rnacentral:rRNA from 1 species
AUUGAACGCUGGCGGCAGGCCUAACACAUGCAAGUCGAACGGUAACAGGAAACAGCUUGCUGUUUCGCUGACGAGUGGCGGACGGGUGAGUAAUGCCUGGGAAACUGCCUGAUGGAGGGGGAUAACUACUGGAAACGGUAGCUAAUACCGCAUAACGUCGCAAGACCAAAGAGGGGGACCUUCGGGCCUCUUGCCAUCGGAUGUGCCCAGAUGGGAUUAGCUAGUAGGUGGGGUAACGGCUCACCUAGGCGACGAGCCCUAGCUGGUCUGAGAGGAUGACCAGCCACACUGGAACUGAGACACGGUCCAGACUCCUACGGGAGGCAGCAGUGGGGAAUAUUGCACAAUGGGCGCAAGCCUGAUGCAGCCAUGUCGCGUGUAUGAAGAAGGCCUUCGGGUUGUAAAGUACUUUCAGCGGGGAGGAAGGGAGUAAAGUUAAUACCUUUGCUCAUUGACGUUACCCGCAGAAGAAGCACCGGCUAACUCCGUGCCAGCCGCCGCCGUAA